rnacentral:misc_RNA from 1 species
GUACAUUAGUGCUUGCGCACGACAAUAGUUCUCAUUACAUUCGAGUGUGUUAUAAAAAUCCUCUGCCAGCCGAAGCUAGCAAGAGGCCAAAGGUUCACAUGGGUAUUGGAUGAAAGCCAUCUACGUGCACUUGCCAGAGUGACCCGGCCAGCACUGCAGACAACCAUUCGCAAUCAAUAAUGAUCCUUCCGCAGGUUCACCUACGGAAA